rnacentral:ncRNA from 1 species
AGAUAGAGGUGCGGCAGUCAAGAGUAAGCCGGUCAGCAGGAGGACACCUGCGGCGGAAAGGGGCUGUUGCCGAAGCAUCCGGGGGUGUCCUGCGCCCGGGUCGCUGGGAUCGUACAGAAGAUGUACGGUACUGUCACGAAAGUGGAGCGCUAUCCG